GCCACCUUAGCUCAGCUGGUAGAGCAACUGAUUCGUAAUCAGUAGGUCGCCGGUUCGAAUCCGGUGGGUGGCU
rnacentral:tRNA from 1 species